GCACAAGCAGUGGAGUAUGUGGUUUAAUUCGAAGCAACGCGAAGAACCUUACCAGGUCUUGACAUCCGAUGCACAGCACAGAGAUGUGUGAAAUCCUUCGGGACAUCGAGACAGGUGGUGCAUGGUUGUCGUCAGCUCGUGUCGUGAGAUGUUGGGUUAAGUCCCGCAACGAGCGCAACCCUUAUUGCCAGUUACUACGUUAAGAGGACUCUGGCGAGACUGCCGUUGAUAAAA
rnacentral:rRNA from 1 species